UCUUGGGUCAGCGGCCGCGGGGGCCCAGCUAGGAGGUGCUCAGGGCAGGGCCCGCGGGCUGGUUAGCGCGGGGCGCCGGAGACGGGGAGGGCAGGGGGAAGCGGCGCCGGCUCUGCGCUCCCAGCCGAUCCGGGAGCGCCCCGGGCGCGGGGCGCUGCGGACGCGGGGCGCGGGGCAGCGGGCACGGGGCGGCGCCGGCCCCGGGCGGCUCUCCCACUAGGGGUAGCUGUUGCCUGAACGCCGGAGCGCUCCCCUCUUGCCGCUUGCCUCUCCCAGCGCAGCCCCGGCCGCCGGGCGCACCCGUCCCGUUCGUCCCCGGACGUUGCUCUCUGCCCCGGGAACGUCGAGACUGGAGCGCCCGAACUGAGCCACCUUCGUGGACCCCGAGCGCGGCGGCCCGACUCACCGCGGAGGCGCCCGGACGCGUAAAGUGCGUACUUUCAACCGUAAAUAUGUGUUGAGGCUUUUAGGGGUGCGGGGCAACUCCCAAACUCCAUGGGGCCCUGGCCUGCCCUGCCGCCGAGUCCAAGACCUUCUGAUCCCUCGCUGCGCCCCGCACGGGAUCGGCGACUUGGGCUCAGGGGCGGAGGGCGGGGCAGUGCCUUGACCUAGGGUCCCGGAGGCCAGGAGCAAGUCCCGCUUCGCCUUGGACCGCUGUAUCCCCCAGGGCAAGGCCUGGACCAGGUUGCAGCGGUCUGUCCGCCGUCUGGAGAGCUGAGCUGCCCGGGACGCUUUCGCAGUCGCGGGGACUUAUCUGGAGCGGCAGGGCUUGAGCCAGAGUCCGAGGCUGCCGCCGCCCGCGUCCCGUGCGCCUCCCUCCCAGGGGACCAGCUGCCUAACUUCUUCUUGGGACAGAGACUGCGCUCGCUCCGGGGGCCGAAGUAGGAGCUGGCUGGGCUCUACAGGUCGCUGGCGAAUCGCUUUUGGCAGCGAAGAAACAAGUUCGGAGAAGUCAACAGCAGGACAAGGGCUUCAACGGGCGUGCAAGUAGAUGCUCGCUUUGGGCAGAUACUCUUCCCUCCGGUUUUCGCGGCUCUGGUAGGAUCCUCUGUCCCAUGAGUUCCCCACAAGACCCGUGGCUCUCACAGGUCAAGCCCUUGAGUGUGCGUGGAAGACGGGGGGGGGGGCACGUGAACGUGCCCUCUUUUCGCCUUCUUCAAUCAGUCGAUUUCUCCGCUGCUCAGGGCAGCAGGGCAUACCCCAGGAACUUCUUACCUAAGGGAAGCCAAACUUGUUUCUCCUAUUCCUCUUAGUGCCCCUAAACUGCCCCUCACCACCCUGGGUAGGGUCUUUCAGGUGGUCUAGAGAAUCCUCCGUUAGCCAAACCUAUCUGGGGGGCGGGGAGUUACCUGCCCCCUACUCCAGCAGGGCACUUCUCAGUUAGGUAAUUUUCCCCUUUUCUGGUCCCUUUUACAGGGGUGGGGGCGGGGAGAAGUGGAAAGAGAAGCCUCCUGCUUGGCAGGACUCUGGGAAGAAGUUUGGGGGUCUUCUGAGGUUGCAUUUUCCUGGGCAGAGGCCAGAAGAUGUGGGAUGGGGGGGUUCCAACUUUUGUUGGACAAUCUGUCAAGCCUUGACUCCUUGAUUUCUGGGAGGUGCCAGUGUAGGGCUUGUGUCCUGCUUUGCCUACUUAGCAGUUGGGACAGAGACAUGGGAUAGUUCCCCUAGCCCUCUUCCCACAUUUAGUUUCAGAAAAUGAAUAAGUUACUGUGGGCUGGGAGAGUUUGUGCUGCCUGGAAUCUAGUGGGGUGUGGUGUGCAUAUGUGUAUGUCCGCGUGCGUGUGUGUGCGUAUGUGUACACGUGUCUGUAUGUGCUCUGUGUGCAUUUGCCUGAGUGCCUGUGCAUGCAUGUGGAAGGCAUGUGUAUGGGCUGAUGUAAGAUUGGGCCUAGCCCAAUUGGUAGCACCUGGAUCCAUGCUGCUUCUAGCCCUGGGGACUGUCAGGAGAACAGCACUUGUUCUUAGGGCUUUCAUCUGUACUUGGGGAUCUGUUGCUGUUUCUUGGGCAGACAAACUGUAUUCCAUACUUCAGGAUUCCAGAACACUGGACAAGGUGCUCAGGUCCAUCUGGCUCCCACAGCUUUUUGUGCAGAUGAGGACAGACCCAAAGUCCAGGAUUUCUGAAGGCUUCAAAGAGGAGGUUGUCCAUCCCCUACACCUGGAGAAGAGAGUUGGAGAGCUCCAGAACUGCUCCUUCCAGGCUUGCUGAGCCAGGAUCCUCUGCAGUGACUAACCGGAACCAGUACCAAGGAGACGCCCAAUAAACCUUUGUGAAAUGAA